rnacentral:rRNA from 1 species
UACAGAGGGUGCUAGCGUUGUUCGGAAUUACUGGGCGUAAAGCGCGUGUAGGCGGAUAGAGGAGUCGGGUGUGAAAGCCCUGGGCUUAACCCAGGAAUUGCGCCUGAAACCAUCUGUCUGGAGUGCAAUAGGGGAGCGGGGAAUUCCCGGUGUAGAGGUGAAAUUCGUAGAUAUCGGGAGGAACACCAGUGGCGAAGGCGCCGCUCUAGGUUGCAACUGACGCUAAAACGCGAAAGCUUGGGUAGCAAACAGG